GUGGGGGAUAUUGCACAAUGGAGGAAACUCUGAUGCAGCAACGCCGCGUGAGGGAAGAAGGAUUUCGGUUUGUAAACCUCUGUCAUUGGUGACGAUAAUGACGGUAGCCGAUGAGGAAGCUCCGGCUAACUACGUGCCAGCAGCCGCGGUAAUACGUAGGGAGCGAGCGUUGUCCGGAAUUACUGGGUGUAAAGGGUGCGUAGGCGGGGGACCAAGUCAGGUGUGAAAACUAUCGGCUUAACCGGUAGCCUGCACUUGAAACUGGCCCUCUUGAGUGAAGUAGAGGCAGGCGGAAUUCCCGGUGUAGCGGUGAAAUGCGUAGAGAUCGGGAGGAACACCAGUGGCGAAGGCGGCCUGCUGGGCUUUAACUGACGCUGAGGCACGAAAGCAUGGGUAGCAAACAGGA
rnacentral:rRNA from 1 species